rnacentral:rRNA from 1 species
AGUGAACGCUGGCGGUAGGCCUAACACAUGCAAGUCGAACGGCAGCACAGUAAGAUCUUGCUCUUACGGGUGGCGAGUGGCGGACGGGUGAGGAAUACAUCGUAAUCUACUUUUUCGUGGGGGAUAACGUAGGGAAACUUACGCUAAUACCGCAUACGACCUACGGGUGAAAGCAGGGGAUCUUCGGACCUUGCGCGAUUGAAUGAGCCGAUGUCGGAUUAGCUAGUUGGCGGGGUAAAGGCCCACCAAGGCGACGAUCCGUAGCUGGUCUGAGAGGAUGAUCAGCCACACUGGAACUGAGACACGGUCCAGACUCCUACGGGAGGCAGCAGUGGGGAAUAUUGGACAAUGGGCGCAAGCCUGAUCCAGCCAUACCGCGUGGGUGACGAAGGCCUUCGGGUUGUAAAGCCCUUUUGUUGGGAAAGAAAAGCAGCAGGUUAAUACCCCGCUGUUCUGACGGUACCCAAAGAAUAAGCACCGGCUAACUUCGUG